rnacentral:rRNA from 1 species
AUGAGACUCUUGCUUCCCUUUGAAAGAGGCAGACCCCUACUUCAAUUGUCAUCUGACGACUCUUCCCCAGCUGUGGACUCAGACCUCUCACAACCAAAAAAAAGAAAAUCAAAAUCAAACGAAUCCGAAUAUAACCAAUCUAUCGCCUUUGAUGACUCGUUGACAGCCUCCUCAACCCAAGCUUCCAUCUCCUGCUCCAGACAUUGGCGCUUGCCCGUGCUAGUCCAUGAAAGGUGGAUGAAGGUGAGUUUGACUACGAACUCGAGGAUGCUGGGAACGAUCUCUUUUCGGGGAAUCACUCCCGUCGAGAGGCCCUCUUCCUCCCUUUUUAUAAUCUGGUAG